GCAGCCCCCAGCCGGGCGCGCGUGGGGCGGUGUCGCGCGGGGCUGUGUGGCGCCCGCCCGCGGUGCAUGAGCUCGUCCCCCCGCGCCUGGCCCAUUGUGCUGGGGGGGACCCUCCCUCGGGCUCCCGCCCGCCCUCCUCCAUGGCCAUGCUGCUGGACGGGGGGGCGCAGUUCCCCGCCCUGGGCGUCGGGGGCUUCGGGGCCCCCCGCCACCACGAGGGGCCCAGCCGCGGCGACGCCGCCGCCGGGAUGGGGCUGAGCCCCUUCGGGGACGCCUCGCACGCGGCCGCCUUCAAGCUCAGCCCGGCCGCCCACGAGCUCUCGUCCGGGCAGAGCUCGGCCUUCACCCCGCAGGGCUCGGGCUAUGCCAACGCGCUGGGGCACCAUCACCACCACCACCACCACCACCACGCCGGCCAGGUGCCCGCCUACGGGGGCGCGGCCGCCGCCUUCAGCUCCACGCGGGACUUUCUCUUCCGCCAGCGGGGCUCCGGCCUCGGGGAGCCCGCCCCCGGGGGCGCCCAGCACGGCAUCUUCGGCGGCUCCCCCGGCAGCCUGCACGGGCCGCCGGGCAUCGCGGAGAGCCCGGGCUACCUGCUCUUCCCGGGGCUGCACGAGCAGGGCCCCAGCCACGCCUCGCCCGGCGGGCACGUGGAGAACGGGCAGAUGCACCUGGGGCUGCGGGGGGAUCUCUUCGGCCGGCCCGACCCUUACCGGGCCGUCUCCAGCCCCCGCACGGACCCGUACGCCGGCGCCCAGUUCCACAACUACAACCCCAUGAACAUGAAUAUGGGCAUGAACGUGGCGGCCCAUCACCACCACGGCCCGGGGGCUUUCUUCCGCUACAUGCGCCAGCCCAUCAAGCAAGAGCUGUCCUGCAAGUGGGUCGAGGAGAGCCAGAUCAACCGCCCCAAAAAGAGCUGCGACCGGACAUUCAGCACCAUGCACGAACUGGUCACCCAUGUGACGAUGGAGCAUGUCGGGGGGCCGGAGCAGAACAACCACAUCUGCUACUGGGAGGAAUGUCCGAGGGAAGGCAAGUCCUUCAAGGCGAAAUACAAACUGGUGAACCACAUUCGGGUUCACACGGGGGAAAAACCGUUCCCUUGCCCGUUCCCAGGCUGCGGGAAAAUCUUUGCCAGGUCCGAGAAUCUGAAGAUCCACAAAAGGACGCACACAGGUGAAAAACCUUUUAAGUGUGAAUUUGAAGGCUGUGAUAGACGUUUUGCGAACAGUAGUGACAGAAAGAAGCACAUGCAUGUACACACUUCAGACAAACCUUAUAUCUGUAAAGUGUGUGAUAAGUCUUACACGCACCCCAGCUCUCUUAGGAAACACAUGAAGGUUCACGAAUCGCAAGGGUCAGAUUCCUCCCCAGCUGCCAGUUCAGGCUACGAAUCGUCCACUCCGCCCACUAUAAGUUCUGCAAACAGUAAAGACUCUACUAAAAGUCCUCCAUCAGCAGUUCAAAGUAACACAAGCCACAACCCCGGACUUCCACCCAAUUUUAACGAAUGGUACGUCUAAGGACAAAGCAGCCAAGCUUAACUGUAGACUGGACCAAAUGAAUUCAAAGGAAAACUGAAAAUCAAUCACACGGAAAUGGAGUUUUCAGGCAAACAACCGUACAGGGCUACAUCCAGUUCAUUGCAAUUAUCCAGGAAAGGGUUUUUAAUUUUUUUGCAAGAUCCAGACGCUGGACUAGCAUGUCCUUUUCUCAGGAUUGGAUUUUUUUGGUUUGGUUUUGGCAUUUGCAGUAAUUUCUUUGAUUUUUUUUUCUCUUCCCUCUUCCAAUCGCCUCCCCUUCUCCCUUCAUUUGAACACUGUUUUUUAUUUUUUAUUAUUGUCUCUCUCCUUUUUUGGCUUUUUCUUCCUUCGGUGGGAUGCUGACAUGAGGAUGCAAAUUCUCCUUCGCCUUAGUGGUGAUUGUUUAAACUCAUUCUUAAACCGUGCCAAAGUCCUGUUAUGUCUUGAACCUCUCUCUCUCUCUCUCUCUCACUCUCUCUCUCUCAGAGCAUUAUCCUUGUGAAUGUAUUCUCGUCUGAUGGGUUCGUCCGGUAUUUUUCAAGAUGAGGCCGUGGUGUUAUUCUACCCAGAUUGUGACCGUUUAGUAAAACAGUUGCCUUUUUGUAAUACCCUUUUUUGUAAAUACAUAUCCAUGAUGCCAUAUUUAUCGUUUGUAAUUUAAUUAUUGAUACGAAGUGCCGGGAACUGAACAAUAUUUAUGGGGGGCGGGGGGAGAAGUGUUUUCUAACAAAAAAAAAAAACCCAAAACCCAACAAAAAAACCCAACAAAUUACAAAACUCUGUACAGUUUUUGGUUAUAACUGCUUUAGCAUUAAAAAUUUAUUGUUUUUGAAAGAACACAAUGGAAUAGUUUUUGAACCACUGUCUUGUAUUUCCUUAUUGCUUUGUGAACUACUCUUUACACCCAGCACUGGCCGAGUAACCACAUAUCAAGGUGUUUGUAUCUCAUCCCCAUCCUUUAUAGGAAUUGGUUUCCCUAUUGCAGGCGAGCAAUAUACAGUGUUCCUUUCAAUAGGGGAAUGAGGGUCGUUGUUGUUUUUCCUUGUCUCCGCCCCCACAUCCCAGUGGUUUGUUUUCACCUCGAGCUUCAUAUGUUUGUUCCUGCACUUUCUGCGAGCGAAUCAAAUAUUACUGACCUGUCCUGUGAGUGUCCAUGACGUGUCUCUAUCUUGCACUUCAAAGAAGAAGAGCUGCAUUUCGGCCUCCCAGUGCUGCAUCCGUAAACAUCAGAAGGAUUUAACAAUAUACGAUGGCUACUGACUAGCACCACUUGGGUACAUAUAUAGAAUGCAAGGCAGCAUUUGAAGGUGUACACAGUUCAGCUGGAGAAAGCAAUUUACUCUGUGGACUGUUAGCGUUUCCCCCCUAGCUCUAAGGAUGUGAGUAAUUUGAUGGGAGCCCUGCUGCACCUUUCAUGUCUGGGUUUCCCCCAGACAGUCCCAUCUUGAACUUGACACUGGGAAGGGCUGGACUGAGAAUACUGUUUGUUUACUUCUUGCUUUAGGAUUUCUUUUAUUUUAGGCAACUUAGAUCAAAUGCACAAGUCUUUUUUUUUUUUUUAAACAAAAGGAAAAGUUGAUCGGAAAUAACGCCUGAGACCAAGCAGAUCGAUGAGGAUCUUUGACACGAUACCUGCACUUCCAAAAUGAGGACUAGUUCGCCAGUUUCUACAAUACUCUUUUCCAUGUCCUACUUUUCCCACUUGAAAGAAUUAUCUUUGAUUUAAAAAAUGUAUUUCGAUUUCUUCUGUGGAGCUAAAUAUUUCUUUUGCGAUACACAGAGCAGACUUGGACCGCAAGGCAAUGGAUUGGAAACCCUGCACCACUAAAGUUCUCAGCUUUACACCGAAGCAAGCAGCCCUGUGCCACGCUGCAAAAUAAAGAAAAAGCGCAAGGUGAGACGUUUUGUAUUGCAACAUGCUACUAAUAAAAUAAGAACUAAAUGCAAUAGAUUGUUGCCCUGUGACAAUUAAAUGCAGCUUUUUAAAUUUUUUUUUUUUUUUUUUUUUUUACAUUUUCUGAACCUUUCCCAGUUACAUUGAGGUCGCACUAGACAAUUCUCCAUGUUCAUUUUAAAAAUGCUCUUUUAACAGUAAGUUAAGGAGUUUUGCGUGUUCACCGUCCUGACACGGGAUCUGUAACAUAAAUCUCUAAAUGCAGAUUGGCUCGGUUUAACUGAGAUGUCCAUUCCAGUGCUGUGCAGGAGCCCUAAUGUUGGCCAUUGGAUUUUGGAAUAACUUUCGGAGCGUUAAGUAGAGGGGCAGGGUCGCUGGCCCGGGCUGCGGGCUGGCUUUCCGACGUUGCAAAUCUUUUAAAUGCUGUCAGACGCUUUUUGUUGCAGCUCCGGAAGCAUCCCGGUGCUUGUUAAGCUCGCCCUUCCCCGUCUUCCGAGCCUCCGCUUUGAGCCUACGAGCCCCAGGCUCGCUGGGGGAGGAAAGGACUCGGAGCGCCGGGAAGUGUGGGGCUGGAAAGGCGGAGACGCGGCCGCCCGGAGCACACGGGGAUAUGCCAACAAGUGGUGGGUGUGUCUCGGGGGGCUAAGUCGCUGCCCCCCAGAAGAAAGGGGGGGAAUCGCAAGGGGGCGGCGUUCUCUCUCUAAAUCCAUGGGAGAGAGAAUCAUGCCAAACCGGCCCGGCCCGGAGGAUCCCCUGCCUGGAGGCUGCUGGACCCUGGAGGAUCGCCCGGCCCCGCUCGGCUCGGCUCGGCUUGACUUGCUGGCUCGUACUCCAGCCCCGCUGAACCGCCCCCUGGUUGGAGCGCAGCCCCCAGGGCGGGCAGCCCGGAUCGGCUCCUAUUUUCAUUUACACCGAGAGUCACGCUCCGAUUCUGUGGCACCAAAGCCCCG